rnacentral:lncRNA from 1 species
UUAUUAUUUGUAAACAUACAUGCUCCCCGUGUAACACGUGUCUGAAUUAUCCUUUCAAAGUGUUAUGAAUCUUUCAAUCACUAUUUUAUGAUAUUUCUUUUUGUUUUUAGGUCUGCAUAUCAGUAUAGUCCAAGUGAAUUAGUAAUAGUUCUGAGUUGUGUGUUUUUUUUUGUUUUUUUUAUAGAAUUAGAAGGUAACUAUAAGUCUACAUAAGUUUAUAUUUAACUAAUGUCUUAAAAAGAUAACUCCACUUUCCCUCUAUAUUUAAAACCGCAUACUAAUUUAAACAGCAUUUGCUCCCCUUGAACACUAAUUUGCCCCUUCCCCGUC